GGGGAUGUAGCUCAAAUGGUAGAGCGCUCGCUUAGCGUGCGAGAGGUACAGGGAUCAAUACUCUGCUUCUCCA
rfam:Phytophthora infestans T30-4 supercont1.42 genomic scaffold, whole genome shotgun sequence.